GAUGAACGCUGGCGGCGCGCCUAAUACAUGCAAGUCGAGCGAACGGACGAGAAGCUUGCUUCUCUGAUGUUAGCGGCGGACGGGUGAGUAACACGUGGAUAACCUACCUAUAAGACUGGGAUAACUUCGGGAAACCGGAGCUAAUACCGGAUAAUAUUUUGAACCGCAUGGUUCAAAAGUGAAAGACGGUCUUGCUGUCACUUAUAGAUGGAUCCGCGCUGCAUUAGCUAGUUGGUAAGGUAACGGCUUACCAAGGCAACGAUGCAUAGCCGACCUGAGAGGGUGAUCGGCCACACUGGAACUGAGACACGGUCCAGACUCCUACGGGAGGCAGCAGUAGGGAAUCUUCCGCAAUGGGCGAAAGCCUGACGGAGCAACGCCGCGUGAGUGAUGAAGGUCUUCGGAUCGUAAAACUCUGUUAUUAGGGAAGAACAUAUGUGUAAGUAACUGUGCACAUCUUGACGGUACCUAAUCAGAAAGCCACGGCUAACUACGUGCCAGCAGCCGCGGUAAUACGUAGGUGGCAAGCGUUAUCCGGAAUUAUUGGGCGUAAAGCGCGCGUAGGCGGUUUUUUAAGUCUGAUGUGAAAGCCCACGGCUCACCGUGGAGGGUCAUUGGAAACUGGAAAACUUGAGUGCAGAAGAGGAAAGUGGAAUUCCAUGUGUAGCGGUGAAAUGCGCAGAGAUAUGGAGGAACACCAGUGGCGAAGGCGACUUUCUGGUCUGUAACUGACGCUGAUGUGCGAAAGCGUGGGGAUCAAACAGGAUUAGAUACCCUGGUAGUCCACGCCGUAAACGAUGAGUGCUAAGUGUUAGGGGGUUUCCGCCCCUUAGUGCUGCAGCUAACGCAUUAAGCACUCCGCCUGGGGAGUACGACCGCAAGGUUGAAACUCAAAGGAAUUGACGGGGACCCGCACAAGCGGUGGAGCAUGUGGUUUAAUUCGAAGCAACGCGAAGAACCUUACCAAAUCUUGACAUCCUUUGACAACUCUAGAGAUAGAGCCUUCCCCUUCGGGGGACAAAGUGACAGGUGGUGCAUGGUUGUCGUCAGCUCGUGUCGUGAGAUGUUGGGUUAAGUCCCGCAACGAGCGCAACCCUUAAGCUUAGUUGCCAUCAUUAAGUUGGGCACUCUAAGUUGACUGCCGGUGACAAACCGGAGGAAGGUGGGGAUGACGUCAAAUCAUCAUGCCCCUUAUGAUUUGGGCUACACACGUGCUACAAUGGACAAUACAAAGGGCAGCGAAACCGCGAGGUCAAGCAAAUCCCAUAAAGUUGUUCUCAGUUCGGAUUGUAGUCUGCAACUCGACUACAUGAAGCUGGAAUCGCUAGUAAUCGUAGAUCAGCAUGCUACGGUGAAUACGUUCCCGGGUCU
rnacentral:rRNA from 1 species